rnacentral:rRNA from 1 species
UGUAUAAUGGGUCAGCGACUUAUAUUCUGUAGCAAGGUUAACCGAAUAGGGGAGCCGAAGGGAAACCGAGUCUUAACUGGGCGUUAAGUUGCAGGGUAUAGACCCGAAACCCGGUGAUCUAGCCAUGGGCAGGUUGAAGGUUGGGUAACACUAACUGGAGGACCGAACCGACUAAUGUUGAAAAAUUAGCGGAUGACUUGUGGCUGGGGGUGAAAGGCCAAUCAAACCGGGAGAUAGCUGGUUCUCCCCGAAAGCUAUUUAGGUAGCGCCUCGUGAAUUCAUCUCCGGGGGUAGAGCACUGUUUCGGCAAGGGGGUCAUCCCGACUUACCAACCCGAUGCAAACUGCGAAUACCGGAGAAUGUUAUCACGGGAGACACACGGCGGGUGCUAACGUCCGUCGUGAAGAGGGAAACAACCCAGACCGCCAGCUAAGGUCCCAAAGUCAUGGUUAAGUGGGAAACGAUGUGGGAAGGCCCAGACAGCCAGGAUGUUGGCUUAGAAGCAGCCAUCAUUUAAAGAAAGCGUAAUAGCUCACUGGUCGAGUCGGCCUGCGCGGAAGAUGUAACGGGGCUAAACCAUGCACCGAAGCUGCGGCAGCGACACUAUGUGUUGUUGGGUAGGGGAGCGUUCUGUAAGCCUGUGAAGGUGGCCUGUGAGGGUUGCUGGAGGUAUCAGAAGUGCGAAUGCUGACAUAAGUAACGAUAAAGCGGGUGAAAAGCCCGCUCGCCGGAAGACCAAGGGUUCCUGUCCAACGUUAAUCGGGGCAGGGUGAGUCGACCCCUAAGGCGAGGCCGAAAGGCGUAGUCGAUGGGAAACAGGUUAAUAUUCCUGUACUUGGUGUUACUGCGAAGGGGGGACGGAGAAGGCUAUGUUGGCCGGGCGACGG